rnacentral:rRNA from 1 species
GAUGAACGCUGGCGGCGUGCCUAAUACAUGCAAGUCGAGCGAACAGACGAGGAGCUUGCUCCUCUGACGUUAGCGGCGGACGGGUGAGUAACACGUGGAUAACCUACCUAUAAGACUGGGAUAACUUCGGGAAACCGGAGCUAAUACCGGAUAAUAUAUUGAACCGCAUGGUUCAAUAGUGAAAGAAGGUUUUGCUGUCACUUAUAGAUGGAUCCGCGCCGCAUUAGCUAGUUGGUAAGGUAACGGCUUACCAAGGCGACGAUGCGUAGCCGACCUGAGAGGGUGAUCGGCCACACUGGAACUGAGACACGGUCCAGACUCCUACGGGAGGCAGCAGUAGGGAAUCUUCCGCAAUGGGCGAAAGCUUGACGGAGCAACGCCGCGUGAGUGAUGAAGGUCUUCGGAUCGUAAAACUCUGUUAUUAGGGAAGAACAAAUGUGUAAGUAACUAUGCACGUCUUGACGGUACCUAAUCAGAAAGCCACGGCUAACUACGUG